AUUAGCUAGUUGGUGAGGUAACGGCUCACCAAGGCGACGAUCUCUAGCUGGUCUGAGAGGAUGAUCAGCCACACUGGGACUGAGACACGGCCCAGACUCCUACGGGAGGCAGCAGUGGGGAAUAUUGGACAAUGGGGGCAACCCUGAUCCAGCCAUGCCGCGUGUGUGAAGAAGGCCUUCGGGUUGUAAAGCACUUUCAUUGGUGAGGAAGGAUGUUAAGUUAAUACCUUAAUAUAUUGACGUUAACCAAAGAAGGAGCACCGGCUAACUCCGUGCCAGCAGCCGCGGUAAUACGGAGGGUGCGAGCGUUAAUCGGAAUUACUGGGCGUAAAGGGCAUGCAGGCGGUUACAUAAGUCAGGUGUGAAAUCCCCGCGCUUAACGUGGGCAUUGCAUUUGAAACUAUGUAGCCAGAGUUCUGUAGAGGGGGGUAGAAUUCCAGGUGUAGCGGUGAAAUGCGUAGAGAUCUGGAGGAAUACCGAUUGCGAAGGCAGCCCCCUGGACAGUGACUGACGCUCAUAUGCGAAAGCGUGGGGAUCAAACAGGAUUAGAUACCCUGGUAGUCCACGCUGUCAACGAUGUCGAUUUGUAGGUUGUGGCUAUAAGCUGUGGCUUCCGAAGCUAACGCGUUAAAUCGACCGCCUGGGGAGUACGGCCGCAAGGUUAAAACUCAAAUGAAUUGACGGGGGCCCGCACAAGCGGUGGAGCAUGUGGUUUAAUUCGAUGCAACGCGAAGAACCUUACCUACUCUUGACAUCCAGCGAAUCCUGUAGAGAUACGGGAGUGCCUUCGGGAACGCUGAGACAGGUGCUGCAUGGCUGUCGUCAGCUCGUGUUGUGAAAUGUUGGGUUAAGUCCCGCAACGAGCGCAACCCUUAUCCUUUGUUGCUAGCGGUUCGGCCGAGAACUCAAAGGAGACUGCCAGUGAUAAACUGGAGGAAGGUGGGGAUGACGUCAAGUCAUCAUGGCCCUUACGAGUAGGGCUACACACGUGCUACAAUGGGGUAUACAAAGAGAGGCGAGCUCGCGAGGGUAAGCGGAACUCAUAAAGUACCU
rnacentral:rRNA from 1 species